rnacentral:tRNA from 1 species
GACACUUUGGCCGAGUGGUUAAGGCGGUGCCCUGCUAAGGCCUCACCAUAAGGCAUGGUACAAGGCAUUAGAUUCGUCUGCGUAGGUUCGAAUCCUGCAGGUGUCG